rnacentral:rRNA from 1 species
ACGCUGGCGGCGUGCCUAAUACAUGCAAGUAGAACGCUGAAGGAGGAGCUUGCUUCUCUGGAUGAGUUGCGAACGGGUGAGUAACGCGUAGGUAACCUGCCUGGUAGCGGGGGAUAACUAUUGGAAACGAUAGCUAAUACCGCAUAACAGUAGAUGUUGCAUGACAUUUGCUUAAAAGGUGCAAUUGCAUCACUACCAGAUGGACCUGCGUUGUAUUAGCUAGUUGGUGGGGUAACGGCUCACCAAGGCGACGAUACAUAGCCGACCUGAGAGGGUGAUCGGCCACACUGGGACUGAGACACGGCCCAGACUCCUACGGGAGGCAGCAGUAGGGAAUCUUCGGCAAUGGACGGAAGUCUGACCGAGCAACGCCGCGUGAGUGAAGAAGGUUUUCGGAUCGUAAAGCUCUGUUGUAAGAGAAGAACAGGUGUGAGAGUGGAAAGUUCACACUGUGACGGUAUCUUACCAGAAAGGGACGGCUAACUACGUGCCAGCAGCCGCGGUAAUACGUAGGUCCCGAGCGUUGUCCGGAUUUAUUGGGCGUAAAGCGAGCGCAGGCGGUUAGAUAAGUCUGAGGUUAAAGGCUGUGGCUUAACCAUAGUACGCUUUGGAAACUGUUUAACUUGAGUGCAAGAGGGGAGAGUGGAAUUCCAUGUGUAGCGGUGAAAUGCGUAGAUAUAUGGAGGAACACCGGUGGCGAAAGCGGCUCUCUGGCUUGUAACUGACGCUGAGGCUCGAAAGCGUGGGGAGCAAACAGGAUUAGAUACCCCUGGUAGUCCACGCCGUAAACGAUGAGUGCUAGGUGUUAGACCCUUUCCGGGGUUUAGUGCCGCAGCUAACGCAUUAAGCACUCCGCCUGGGGAGUACGACCGCAAGGUUGAAACUCAAAGGAAUUGACG